CUCUAAUAUUUAUUUGUGCAGCUGAAAUUAUAAGUUUAUUGGUCCAAAUUACAAUUUAAAACCCAAAAAUUAGGUUCUAUUUGGAAAAUAAUGUACAGAUGGGCCAAACAGGCAGUCUUUACCCUUGCACCUCCCAAAAUUCCCUACAUACACCUUUGGCCCAACACUAAGCCAAACAGUAACCGUAUUCUGAAUACAUCUCCUAAGUUUACUACACACACCCCUCCUACCACUAAUUAAACCAGAUCCAAUCAGAACACGUCACCUCAUCUUUUGCCACGUCAUCAUCUUCCACACUGAAACCCUAAUUUCCCUCUGCAAUGAAACCCUAGCCGUCAACUUCUGCAAGUAGCCGUCAAUGCCGCAAGACGCCGCGAAGGCCAAUUACCAAAACAGCCGCUCCCCACAUCACGGUUU
rnacentral:lncRNA from 1 species